GAUGUACGCUAGCUACAGGCUUAACACAUGCAAGUCGAGGGGCAGCAUGGUCUUAGCUUGCUAAGGCCGAUGGCGACCGGCGCACGGGUGAGUAACACGUAUCCAACCUGCCGUCUACUCUUGGACAGCCUUCUGAAAGGAAGAUUAAUACAAGAUGGCAUCAUGAGUCCACAUGUUCACAUGAUUAAAGGUAUUCCGGUAGACGAUGGGGAUGCGUUCCAUUAGAUAGUAGGCGGGGUAAUGGCCCACCUAGUCUUCGAUGGAUAGGGGUUCUGAGAGGAAGGUCCCCCACAUUGGAACUGAGACACGGUCCAAACUCCUACGGGAGGCAGCAGUGAGGAAUAUUGGUCAAUGGGCGAGAGCCUGAACCAGCCAAGUAGCGUGAAGGAUGACUGCCCUAUGGGUUGUAAACUUCUUUUAUAAAGGAAUAAAGUCGGGUAUGCAUACCCGUUUGCAUGUACUUUAUGAAUAAGGAUCGGCUAACUCCGUGCCAGCAGCCGCGGUAAUACGGAGGAUCCGAGCGUUAUCCGGAUUUAUUGGGUUUAAAGGGAGCGUAGAUGGAUGUUUAAGUCAGUUGUGAAAGUUUGCGGCUCAACCGUAAAAUUGCAGUUGAUACUGGAUAUCUUGAGUGCAGUUGAGGCAGGCGGAAUUCGUAGUGUAGCGGUGAAAUGCUUAGAUAUCACGAAGAACUCCGAUUGCGAAGGCAGCCUGCUAAGCUGCAACUGACAUUGAGGCUCGAAAGUGUGGGUAUCAAACAGGAUUAGAUACCCUGGUAGUCCACACGGUAAACGAUGAAUACUCGCUGUUUGCGAUAUACAGCAAGCGGCCAAGCGAAAGCGUUAAGUAUUCCACCUGGGGAGUACGCCGGCAACGGUGAAACUCAAAGGAAUUGACGGGGGCCCGCACAAGCGGAGGAACAUGUGGUUUAAUUCGAUGAUACGCGAGGAACCUUACCCGGGCUUAAAUUGCAGAUGAAUUACGGUGAAAGCCGUAAGCCGCAAGGCAUCUGUGAAGGUGCUGCAUGGUUGUCGUCAGCUCGUGCCGUGAGGUGUCGGCUUAAGUGCCAUAACGAGCGCAACCCUUGUUGUCAGUUACUAACAGGUUCCGCUGAGGACUCUGACAAGACUGCCAUCGUAAGAUGUGAGGAAGGUGGGGAUGACGUCAAAUCAGCACGGCCCUUACGUCCGGGGCUACACACGUGUUACAAUGGGGGGUACAGAGGGCCGCUACCACGCGAGUGGAUGCCAAUCCCAAAAACCUCUCUCAGUUCGGACUGGAGUCUGCAACCCGACUCCACGAAGCUGGAUUCGCUAGUAAUCGCGCAUCAGCCACGGCGCGGUGAAUACGUUCCCGGGCCU
rnacentral:rRNA from 1 species